AACCAAUUGUAUAAAAACCUUAUUUUCUAAUUUUGUAUAUAAUUAUACACAAUCUAAUUUUCUCUCUCCUAUUCACAAUUAAUUUUCUCUCUCCUUUCCUCAUUCUAACGUCUUCUCCUACAUUUAAUACUCCAAUAUCAGAUUUGAAUUUCGAUUUUUUGUCCAAAAUUUCAGCGAUCCCUCCUGAAGUUGAAGUCUCCUCCCUAAGUUGAAGUCAAUUUCAUCUAAAAUUCGUCAAACAAUGAACGAAUCGUCUACAUAUUUGAGGAUUACCAGAGGUAGUCCUUUGCAUGUCAAUGUUGUUGACAUUUUACCAUCCUUUUCAAUGGGGCUAACUCAAGAAUUUGGGGUUAAUGUAGGGUCUUUGGGAAAAUCAAAACAACUUAUACAAGAACAAACCAUGGAAGAGCUGAGAUCAAAGAAAAAAAACGACCCUAUGGCAGUUCAACAAGUUAUUAAAAAUGCCAAAGCUAGAGGCAUUAAAAUUGUACAAGGUACAAGAAAGAGGAAAGUUGUACUAUUUGAAUCAGAGGAAAAUGAUUGUGAAGUCGGAUCUGAAGAACUUCAUAAUCAUGAGAUAGUGUCUUAAAACACAAACUUAGAUACAAUUUUUUUGUUAAUUAGUUGUCAAUAUACAAAAACCAUUAAAUUAAGUAUUGUAUAUAGUA